rnacentral:rRNA from 1 species
GAUGAACGCUGGCGGCGUGCCUAAUACAUGCAAGUCGAGCGAAUGGAUUAAGAGCUUGCUCUUAUGAAGUUAGCGGCGGACGGGUGAGUAACACGUGGGUCACCUGCCCAUAAGACUGGGAUAACUCCGGGAAAGCGGGGCUAAUACCGGAUAAUAUUUUGAAUUGCAUGGUUCAAAGUUGAAAGACGGCUUCGGCUGUCACUUAUGGCUGGACCCGCGUCGCAUUAGCUAGUUGGUGAGGUAACGGCUCACCAAGGCAACGAGGCGUAGCCGACCUGAGAGGGUGAUCGGCCACACUGGGACUGAGACACGGCCCAGACUCCUACGGGAGGCAGCAGUAGGGAAUCUUCCGCAAUGGACGAAAGUCUGACGGAGCAACGCCGCGUGAGUGAUGAAGGCUUUCGGGUCGUAAAACUCUGUUGUUAGGGAAGAACAAGUGCUAGUUGAAUAAGCUGGCACCUUGACGGUACCUAACCAGAAAGCCACGGCUAACUACGUGCCAGCAGCCGCCGUAA